rnacentral:snoRNA from 17 species
GGCAGUUAUGUGUACUCAUUUUGAUCAAUGUGAUUUAUGAGAUUACGGAAACUGCCAAAAACAAAUUAGAUUAUAUAAAGAAAUGUCUUAUACUAGUUAAUCUGUUUUGGACUCUUUGUAUACUCACAUUU